CGUCGGUUCCCCCGCGACGACCAGCCGUGAACCCCGUCAGGCCCGGAAGGGAGCAGCGGCAGCGGCCCGGUCGGGUGCCGGGGUUGGGCUGAC
rnacentral:SRP_RNA from 1 species